GUCAGGAGUUCAAGACCAGCAUGGCCAACGUGGCAAAAGCCCAUCUCUACUAAAAAUACAUAAAUUAGCCAGGCUCCUUUUGCGGGUGGCGGCAAGUGUGGAGAGGAUGCCAUGAAAACCUCGGGCACACUACAAGAGUACAAGGUGGUGGGUCGCUGCCUGCCCACCCCCAAAUGCCAUACACCGCCCCUCUACCAUAUGCAAAUCUUUGUGCCUAAUCAUGUCGUCGCCAAGUCCCGCUCUAGUACUUCGCAUCUCAGUUAAAGAGAUGAAGAAGUCUUCAGGGGAGACUGUCUACUGUGGGCAGGCAUUUGAGAAGCGCCCCCUGCGGGUGAAGAACUUCAGCAUCUGGCUGCGCCAUGACUCCCGGAGCGGCACCCACAACAUGUACCGGGAAUACCGGAAGCUGACCACCAGGGGCGCUGUCACCCACCGCGACCGAGACAUGGGCGCCUGGCACCGCACCUGGGCCCCCUCCAUCCAGAUCAUGAAGGGAGAGGAGAUCGCAGCCAGCAAGUGCCACCGGCACAGGACUCCAAGAUCAGGUUCCCACUGCCCCAAAGGGUCCUGCGCCGUCAGCACAAGCCACGCUUCACCACCAAGAGGCCCAACACCUUCUAGGUGUAGGGCCCUCGCCCAUGUGUGCCCCAGAUAAACUCAGGAACGCCCCGGUAAAAAAAAAAAAAAAA